rnacentral:rRNA from 1 species
UCGAGAAUAAUUCGCAAUGGACGAAAGUCUGACGAUGCGACGCCGUGUGAACGAUGAAGGCCUUCGGGUUGUAAAGUUCUGUCGCCUGGGAACAAGGUUGUGGGGGGAAUAUCCCUACAGCUUGAGGGUACCAGGAAAGGAAGCACCGGCUAACUCCGUGCCAGCAGCUGCGGUAAUACGGAGGGUGCAAGCGUUAGUCGGAAUUACUGGGCGUAAAGGGUGCGUAGGCGGGAAUGUAAGUCAAAUGUGAAAUACCGAAGCUCAACUUCGGCUCCUGCAUUUGAAACUGCGUUUCUAGAGGAAGAGCGGAGAAAACGGAAUUCCACAAGUAGCGGUGAAAUGCGUAGAUAUGUGGAAGAACACCUGUGGCGAAAGCGGUUUUCUAGCUUAUUCCUGACGCUGAGGCACGAAAGCAAGGGGAGCAAACAGGAUUAGAUACCCCGGUAGUCC